rnacentral:rRNA from 1 species
GACAGAGGGUGCGAACGUUGUUCGGAAUUACUGGGCGUAAAGCGCGUGUAGGCGGCAGCGCAAGUCGGGCGUGAAAUCCCACGGCUCAACCGUGGAAGUGCACUCGAAACUGCGCAGCUAGAGUCCUGGAGAGGAAGGUGGAAUGCUUGGUGUAGAGGUGAAAUUCGUAGAUAUCAAGCGGAACACCGGUGGCGAAGGCGACCUGCUGGGCAGUAGCUGACACUGAGGCGCGACAGCGUGGGGAGCAAACAGG